rnacentral:rRNA from 1 species
GACGAACGCUGGCGGCGCGCCUAACACAUGCAAGUCGAACGAGCGAGAGAGAGCUUGCUUUCUCAAGCGAGUGGCGAACGGGUGAGUAACGCGUGAGGAACCUGCCUCAAAGAGGGGGACAACAGUUGGAAACGACUGCUAAUACCGCAUAAGCCCACAGGUCGGCAUCGACCAGAGGGAAAAGGAGCAAUCCGCUUUGAGAUGGCCUCGCGUCCGAUUAGCUAGUUGGUGAGGUAACGGCCCACCAAGGCGACGAUCGGUAGCCGGACUGAGAGGUUGAACGGCCACAUUGGGACUGAGACACGGCCCAGACUCCUACGGGAGGCAGCAGUGGGGAAUAUUGCACAAUGGGGGAAACCCUGAUGCAGCGACGCCGCGUGGAGGAAGAAGGUCUUCGGAUUGUAAACUCCUGUUGUUGAGGAAGAUAAUGACGGUACUCAACAAGGAAGUGACGGCUAACUACGUGCCAGCAGCCGCGGUAAAACGUAGGUCACAAGCGUUGUCCGGAAUUACUGGGUGUAAAGGGAGCGCAGGCGGGAAGACAAGUUGGAAGUGAAAUCUAUGGGCUCAACCCAUAAACUGCUUUCAAAACUGUUUUUCUUGAGUAGUGCAGAGGUAGGCGGAAUUCCCGGUGUAGCGGUGGAAUGCGUAGAUAUCGGGAGGAACACCAGUGGCGAAGGCGGCCUACUGGGCACCAACUGACGCUGAGGCUCGAAAGUGUGGGUAGCAAACAGG